rnacentral:rRNA from 1 species
CGGUGUUCAACUGGCGUGUCCGCGGGACGUCCUGCCGGUGGGCUUAGCCCGCAAGGGCGGCCCAACUUCAAAUCCCAUCGCGGUGCUCUUCACUGAGUGUCGAGGUGGGCCGGCACGUUUACUUUGAACAAAUUAGAGUGCUUAAAGCAGGCUAAAACUUCGCCUGAAUACUGUGUGCAUGGAAUAAUGGAAUAGGACCUCGGUUCUAUUUUGUUGGUUUUCGGAACCCCGAGGUAAUGAUUAAUAGGAACGGAUGGGGGCAUUCGUAUUGCGACGUUAGAGGUGAAAUUCUUGGAUCGUCGCAAGACGGACAGAAGCGAAAGCAUUUGCCAAAAACGCUUUCAUUGAUCAAGAACGAAAGUUAGAGGUUCGAAGGCGAUCAGAUACCGCCCUAGUUCUAACCAUAAACGAUGCCAGCUAGCGAUCCGUCGACGUUCCUCCGAUGACUCGACGGGCAGCUUCCGGGAAACCAAAGCUUUUGGGUUCCGGGGGAAGUAUGGUUGCAAAGCUGAAACUUAAAGGAAUUGACGGAAGGGCACCACCAGGAGUGGAGCCUGCGGCUUAAUUUGACUCAACACGGGAAACCUCACCAGGCCCGGACACCGGAAGGAUUGACAGAUUGAGAGCUCUUUCUUGAUUCGGUGGGUGGUGGUGCAUGGCCGUUCUUAGUUGGUGGAGCGAUUUGUCUGGUUAAUUCCGAUAACGAACGAGACUCUAGCCUGCUAACUAGGCGUAUUUUCGACAUCUCAAAGGUCCGUCGUCCCGGCCCUCGGGUCGUGGGCGUGCGCGAUUUUUACUGUCGGCGUACUAUCAAUUCUUCUUAGAGGGACAGGUGGCAUCUAGCCGCACGAGAUUGAGCAAUAACAGGUCUGUGAUG